CUGACAGCUGUCCUUCAUGACAACAGAAGCCACAGAAAUCCUCCUCAUCAAAAACAUGACUUUGAUCUCCGUCCUCAUCUGGACUCUCCUCUGCUGCUGCUUCACAGAGUCCAGAGGCCAGUACACAGUGACUCAGCCUGCAGCAGUGAGAUCUACUCUGGGAGGAUCUGCAACCAUCAACUGUAGGACCAGUCAGAAUGUUUAUGUUUAUAGCUCUUCCUACCACCGUUUAGCCUGGUACCAACAGAGAGAUGGAGAAACUCCUAAACGCCUAAUUUCCUCUGCUACCUAUAGAGAAUCAGGGAUUCCAGGUCGUUUUACAGGCAGUGGAUCAAAAUCUGACUUCACUCUGACCAUCAGUGGAGUUCAGGCUGAAGAUGCAGCAGUUUAUUACUGUCAGAGUGGCCACUAUCCCAACAAUCAGUAUGUGUUCACACAGUGA